rnacentral:rRNA from 1 species
UCGAACGCUUCAUGUAGCAAUACAUGAGGAGUGGCGUAAGGGAGAGUAAUACAUAGUUAGCUGCCCUCGGGUCUGGGAUAGCGGCGGGAAACUGCCGGUAAUACCAGAUGACAUCUUCGGAUCAAAGGUGUGAUUCCGCCCGAGGAGGUGACUGUGUCCUAUCAGCUAGUUGGCGGUGUAACGGACCACCAAGGCUAAGACGGGUAUGGGGCGUGAGAGCGUGCCCCCACUCACUGGGACUGAGACACUGCCCAGACACCUACGGGUGGCUGCAGUCGAGAAUCUUCGGCAAUGGGCGCAAGCCUGACCGAGCGACGCCGCGUGCGGGAUGAAGGCCUUCGGGUUGUAAACCGCUGUCGUAGGGGAGGAAGCGACCGUGAAGAACGGAAGUUGACCGAUCCUAGGAGGAAGCGCCGGCUAAUCUCGUGCCAGCAGCCGCGGUAAUACGAGAGGCGCAAACGUUA